UACGGAGGGUGCAAGCGUUUAAUCGGAAUUACUGGGCGUAAAGCGUGCGCAGGCGGCUUUGCAAGACAGAUGUGAAAUCCCCGGGCUCAACCUGGGAACUGCAUUUGUGACUGCAUGGCUAGAGUGCGGCAGAGGGGGAUGGAAUUCCGCGUGUAGCAGUGAAAUGCGUAGAUAUGCGGAGGAACACCGAUGGCGAAGGCAAUCCCCUGGGCCUGCACUGACGCUCAUGCACGAAAGCGUGGGGAGCAAACAGG
rnacentral:rRNA from 1 species